rnacentral:rRNA from 1 species
AGUGAACGCUGGCGGUAGGCCUAACACAUGCAAGUCGAACGGCAGCACAGUAAGAGCUUGCUCUUACGGGUGGCGAGUGGCGGACGGGUGAGGAAUACAUCGGAAUCUACUUUUUCGUGGGGGAUAACGUAGGGAAACUUACGCUAAUACCGCAUACGACCUACGGGUGAAAGCAGGGGAUCUUCGGACCUUGCGCGAUUGAAUGAGCCGAUGUCGGAUUAGCUAGUUGGCGGGGUAAAGGCCCACCAAGGCGACGAUCCGUAGCUGGUCUGAGAGGAUGAUCAGCCACACUGGAACGGAGACACGGCCCAGACUCCUAGGGGAGGCAGCAGGGGGGAAUAUUGGAAAAGGGGCGAAAGCUUGACCCAGCCAUCCCGCGGGGGGGAAGAAGGCUUUCGGUUUGUAAAGCUUUUUUGUGGGGAAAAAAAAGAAGAAGGUUAAUCCCCCGCUGUUCUGACGGUACCAAAAGAAAAAGCCCCGGCUAAUUUGGUC